rnacentral:rRNA from 2 species
GGGUUGUGAGGUUAAGCGACUAAGCGUACACGGUGGAUGCCCUGGCAGUCAGAGGCGAUGAAGGACGUGCUAAUCUGCGAAAAGCGCCGGCGAGGUGAUAUGAACCUUUGACCCGGCGAUGUCCGAAUGGGGAAACCCAGUGCAAUUCGUUGCACUAUCGUUAACUGAAUACAUAGGUUAACGAGGCGAACCGGGGGAACUGAAACAUCUAAGUACCCCGAGGAAAAGAAAUCAACCGAGAUUCCCCCAGUAGCGGCGAGCGAACGGGGAGCAGCCCGGAGUCUGAAUCAGCUUGUGUGUUAGUGGAACGGUCUGGAAAGUCCGACGGUACAGGGUGAUAGUCCCGUACACGAAAGCACACAUGCUGUGAACUCGAAGAGUAGGGCGGGACACGUGGUAUCCUGUCUGAAUAUGGGGGGACCAUCCUCCAAGGCUAAAUACUCCUGACUGACCGAUAGUGAACCAGUACCGUGAGGGAAAGGCGAAAAGAACCCCGGCGAGGGGAGUGAAAAAGAACCUGAAACCGUGUACGUACAAGCAGUGGGAGCCUCUUUAUGGGGUGACUGCGUACCUUUUGUAUAAUGGGUCAGCGACUUAUAUUCUGUAGCAAGGUUAACCGUAUAGGGGAGCCGAAGGGAAACCGAGUCUUAACUGGGCGUUAAGUUGCAGGGUAUAGACCCGAAACCCGGUGAUCUAGCCAUGGGCAGGUUGAAGGUUGGGUAACACUAACUGGAGGACCGAACCGACUAAUGUUGAAAAAUUAGCGGAUGACCUGUGGCUGGGGGUGAAAGGCCAAUCAAACCGGGAGAUAGCUGGUUCUCCCCGAAAGCUAUUUAGGUAGCGCCUCGUGAACUCAUCUUCGGGGGUAGAGCACUGUUUCGGCUAGGGGGCCAUCCCGGCUUACCAACCCGAUGCAAACUACGAAUACCGAAGAAUGUUAUCACGGGAGACACACGGCGGGUGCUAACGUCCGUCGUGAAGAGGGAAACAACCCAGACCGCCAGCUAAGGUCCCAAAGUCAUGGUUAAGUGGGAAACGAUGUGGGAAGGCACAGACAGCCAGGAUGUUGGCUUAGAAGCAGCCAUCAUUUAAAGAAAGCGUAAUAGCUCACUGGUCGAGUCGGCCUGCGCGGAAGAUGUAACGGGGCUAAACCAUGCACCGAAGCUGCGGCAGCGACACUAUGUGUUGUUGGGUAGGGGAGCGUUCUGUAAGCCGUUGAAGGUGGCCUGUGAGGGUUGCUGGAGGUAUCAGAAGUGCGAAUGCUGACAUAAGUAACGAUAAAGCGGGUGAAAAGCCCGCUCGCCGGAAGACCAAGGGUUCCUGUCCAACGUUAAUCGGGGCAGGGUGAGUCGACCCCUAAGGCGAGGCCGAAAGGCGUAGUCGAUGGGAAACAGGUUAAUAUUCCUGUACUUGGUGUUACUGCGAAGGGGGGACGGAGAAGGCUAUGUCAGCCGGGCGACGGUUGUCCCGGUUUAAGCAUGUAGGCGGAGGUUCCAGGUAAAUCCGGUACCUUAUUAACGCUGAGGUGUGAUGACGAGGCACUACGGUGCUGAAGUGAUAAAUGCCCUGCUUCCAGGAAAAGCCUCUAAGCAUCAGGUAACACGAAAUCGUACCCCAAACCGACACAGGUGGUCAGGUAGAGAAUACCAAGGCGCUUGAGAGAACUCGGGUGAAGGAACUAGGCAAAAUGGUGCCGUAACUUCGGGAGAAGGCACGCUGAUAUGUAGGUGAAGCCCCUGCGGGCGGAGCUGAAAUCAGUCGAAGAUACCAGCUGGCUGCAACUGUUUAUUAAAAACACAGCACUGUGCAAACACGAAAGUGGACGUAUACGGUGUGACGCCUGCCCGGUGCCGGAAGGUUAAUUGAUGGGGUUAGCUGUAAGGCGAAGCUCUUGAUCGAAGCCCCGGUAAACGGCGGCCGUAACUAUAACGGUCCUAAGGUAGCGAAAUUCCUUGUCGGGUAAGUUCCGACCUGCACGAAUGGCGUAAUGAUGGCCAGGCUGUCUCCACCCGAGACUCAGUGAAAUUGAACUCGCUGUGAAGAUGCAGUGUACCCGCGGCAAGACGGAAAGACCCCGUGAACCUUUACUAUAGCUUGACACUGAACACUGGUCCUUGAUGUGUAGGAUAGGUGGGAGGCUUUGAAGCGUGGACGCCAGUCUGCGUGGAGCCGACCUUGAAAUACCACCCUUUAAUGGCUGGUGUUCUAACGUAGACCCGUAAUCCGGGUUGCGGACAGUGUCUGGUGGGUAGUUUGACUGGGGCGGUCUCCUCCCAAAGAGUAACGGAGGAGCACGAAGGUUGGCUAAUCCUGGUCGGACAUCAGGAGGUUAGUGCAAUGGCAUAAGCCAGCUUGACUGCGAGCGUGACGGCGCGAGCAGGUGCGAAAGCAGGUCAUAGUGAUCCGGUGGUUCUGAAUGGAAGGGCCAUCGCUCAACGGAUAAAAGGUACUCCGGGGAUAACAGGCUGAUACCGCCCAAGAGUUCAUAUCGACGGCGGUGUUUGGCACCUCGAUGUCGGCUCAUCACAUCCUGGGGCUGAAGUAGGUCCCAAGGGUAUGGCUGUUCGCCAUUUAAAGUGGUACGCGAGCUGGGUUUAGAACGUCGUGAGACAGUUCGGUCCCUAUCUGCCGUGGGCGCUGGAGAAUUGAGGGGGGCUGCUCCUAGUACGAGAGGACCGGAGUGGACGCAUCACUGGUGUUCGGGUUGUCAUGCCAAUGGCACUGCCCGGUAGCUAAAUGCGGAAGAGAUAAGUGCUGAAAGCAUCUAAGCACGAAACUUGCCCCGAGAUGAGUUCUCCCUGAGACUUUAAGUCUCCUGAAGGAACGUUGAAGACGACGACGUUGAUAGGUCGGGUGUGUAAGCGCAGCGAUGCGUUGAGCUAACCGAUACUAAUGAACCGUGAGGCUUAACCUUACAACGCCGAAG